CCUACGGGAUGCUGCAGUGAGGAAUAUUGGUCAAUGGACGAGAGUCUGAACCAGCCAAGUAGCGUGAAGGAUGACUGCCCUCUGGGUUGUAAACUUCUUUUAUAUGGGAAUAAAACAGGGUAUGCAUACCCUCUUGUAUGUACCAUAUGAAUAAGGAUCGGCUAACUCCGUGCCAGCAGCCGCGGUAAUACGGAGGAUCCGAGCGUUAUCCGGAUUUAUUGGGUUUAAAGGGAGCGUAGGUGGAUUGUUAAGUCAGUUGUGAAAGUUUGCGGCUCAACCGUAAAAUUGCAGUGGAAACUGGCAGUCUGGAGUACAGUAGAGGUGGGCGGAAUUCGUGGUGUAGCGGUGAAAUGCGUAGAUAUCACGAAGAACUCCGAUUGCGAAGGCAGCUCACUGGACUGCAACUGACACUGAUGCUCGAAAGUGUGGGUAUCAAACAGGAUUAGAUACCCUAGUAGUC
rnacentral:rRNA from 1 species